GCAGUGUUGGUUCAGUGGUAGAACUCUCGCCUUCCAUGUGUGAGACCUGGGUUCGAUUCCCAGCCAAUGCA